rnacentral:rRNA from 1 species
GUGCCAGCAGCCGCGGUAACACGUAGGAGGCAAGCGUUAUCCGGAUUUACUGGGCGUAAAGCGCGUGCAGGCGGUCUGGUAAGUCGGACGUGAAAGCUCCUGGCUCAACUGGGAGAGGUCGUUCGAUACUGUCAGACUAGAGGACGGAAGAGGGAAGUGGAAUUCCCGGUGUAGUGGUGAAAUGCGUAGAUAUCGGGAGGAACACCAGUGGCGAAGGCGGCUUCCUAGAACGUUCCUGACGCUAAGACGCGAAAGCAUGGGGAGCGAACGGGAUUAGAAACCCCGGUAGUCCAUGCCGUAAACGAUGCGAACUUGGCGUUGGUGGUGUAAGAGCCAUCAGUGCCGCAGCAAACGCGAUAAGUUCGCCGCCUGGGGAUUACGACCGCAAGGUUAAAACUCAAAGGAAUUGACGGGG